GAAAUAUGGGGGAAAGACCCUCAGGAACAAAGUUGGAAGGCAUCCCCAGGGAAACCCGACUGGCAUAGAAGUUGGUGCAAAGUGGGCGCUGGCCGCAGGCACUGUUGAAGAGGCAAUCUCAGAGAUGACUGUCAUCUAGGGAGGAGUUGAAGGUGUCGGAGAUGACUGGCUCUGGGCGGCCAUGAAAGACUCCAUUGGGGCAGUCAAUUUGGC
rnacentral:lncRNA from 1 species